UUUGUACUCCCUCCGUCCGAAAAUACUUGUCAUCAAAAUGGAUAAAAAGAGAUGUAUCUAGAACUAAAAUAUGUCUAGAUACAUCCCAUUUUAUCCAUUUUGAUGACAAGUAUUUCCGGACGGAGGGAGUACAAA
rnacentral:pre_miRNA from 1 species